CGAACACGGAUUUCGUUUGCCUCGCUAAUGCUGCAGCUGCGACGCCUAUGGGCCCCGGCUGCAGAAAGUCUCUUCCCCAUUGCUGCGUAUUUCUGAUCAUCACCAUCAUCGCCACCAACACCACCAUCUCCCCGUAUAUUAGGGAGGAGCAGCAGUUAGAGUCAUUCAGAGGAGCCGCCCUGCACCACGGUAAAUCACAGCGGCGGCGACGGGUGUAAUAGCCAAGGGGGAGCAGCAGAGGACGCAAAGAGCGCCGGAGCCGCCGCCGUAGCUGCGCUUUCCGAGGGAGGCGCAACAUCCCUGCACCGCACCGCCAACAGCUGGAAGAGCUGCAGUGCAAGAGCCCUCCAGAGAAAAUGUAUUUUAAAAAAGAAGCAAACACCCACAAAUGAAAAAGCUGCUGGAAAGCAAUUUAUUGUGGAAGCACAAUUAAGGCACA
rnacentral:lncRNA from 1 species